rnacentral:misc_RNA from 1 species
AAUUCUCAACCUUUCAAGCUUUGUUAAUUGAAGCUGGUUAGGCUUGGAUUGUGGAAGUCGCUGGCUUGUAAAAUAAAGUCUGCUCUUCUAAAAUGUAUUAGCAAAAUGGUCAUUGCUGAUCAUCAUUGGUAUGAUAAUUUUUGUACCAUCAAGAUAAUCAGAUUUAUUUUGCUUCUAACUGUCUGAAAGACAAAUGUAUAACAAUU